rnacentral:lncRNA from 1 species
GAAGCAAAAGAAUGAAUUAAAGAAAACUCCAGAGAAUGAGCUGACAACCUACUCCCUGGUCAGUGGCUCUCCAUGCCUACCUGUGGUCUCUUGGACACCCUUGCAGAAGAUGACUUCCUGGGAACUCUUCUGGGAGUGAAUGUUAUCAGCAAAUUCCCAAAACAACACCCCUUAGACAAAAAGCCUCCUCACCUAUGCAUUGCCUAGACCACCCACUAAAGAUGGUGACCAUGGAGGAAGACUUGUGUUGGGCCCAAUGGCCCUCGGCCAGUGUCCGUCUGCCAGGUGCCAGCCCCCGGUGCGCUGAAGCUCAGGCCAUUCCUGAUGCCCUGGCCUCCUGCACUGAGCUGUGUGAGCUCUUCUGCCCAGGCAGGCCCCCUGGCAUUGACCGGCAUAGACAGUGAGCCUGGAGGAAGACUUGCCCUGGUCCCACUGUCCCUGGGCCAGUGUCCAUCAGCCAGGUGCCCAGACCCCAGUGCGCUGAAGCUCAGCCCUCCCUGGCACUCUGGUCUCCUGCACUGAGCUGUGUGAGCUCUUCCGCCCAUGAGGGCCCCCUGGCCUUGAGCAGCAUAGGUCCCUCCGUUUGGGGUCCCUGACUUCCCUCAACACUGGUCUCUUCCACUGAGCCUUG